UACUCAUAGACCUACAUAUUUUUGAGUUAUUUAUUUAUAUCACAUGCUUCACAGACUCCUAGGGGUCCUUGGACGCCAUUUUGAGAACCUUCUGGAUAGAAGCUAACUUAAUUUCAGUUCCACUGAGCUCGUUUGAGUGUCGAACUGGAAGAGUUCACUAGAGGACGCCGCGGCGGAAAUGUAGAUCAGUCCGUGACCUCUGACCGCCGGAAGUAAACAAAACCAUUCAACUAUGUCAGGUGGGAUGUUCAUUAGAAUAAGAUAGCCUGUUUUUAUUUACGUUGUGCAACCGAUUCUGUAGGAAUUUGUAAAGUAAUACGUUAUUAUUUAAAAUAAAAUAAAAAAAUAUAUUUAUUUCAGUAGCCGGUUCAAGUGGUGCUGGUACUAAAGCUGAGGCGAACUAUAGUAGGUAAUUAUUAUUAUUAAUCGCUCGUCUGGUGCUAAAAUGGAUUUUAUACAAAACAGAGGCACGUCUUUGUUAAACGCAGACGAAGCCUCGGCUAUCGAGACAGCAGUCCGGACGGCGGUCAUGUCCAUCCUGAAGAUUUUCUGCGACGUAAACGAGAAGAAGUCGCACUGCUAUGAGGCGAAGUUAGCCGAGGCGGAAAGAGAAAACGCGGCGCUCAGGUUUCAGUUAAAAGCCGCCGAGCAGGAGCUUCAAACCUUACGACAGAUCUCUUCUAAUUACAAAAUCUCAGCGGAGGUGACUUUCAGUACUGAUGUCGAAGAAAGAGUUCAGGAACCGGCGUCUUUCCAAAAUGUCUCAUCAGAGAGCGACCGUGUCCUGGUGCUAAAGGAAGAGGAAGAGCCUUUCUACGAGAGCCAGUUGUUUAUAAAGAGUGAAAUGACAGAGGAAUAUUCUGCAGUGAACUUUGAAAACGCGCAAAUCCAGACAUACGGGACAAACAACAACAACAACGACGACGACGACAACAAUCAUCACUCAGUUAAUCAAGAUCCAGUUUUCACCGGAUUUGAGAGAAGUGGAGCAGUGACCCAGGGCCGUUGAUUCUCAAGGUAGUCGGGGGAAAAAUCUAAAUAAAUGGAAGAGACGGAAAACGAGUGCAGGGAGACUGACACGGUAUGAGAAUGUGAGGCGGUACAGAGAAAGGAUUCGGGCUGAUCCUGCGAAAUACCUGGCCUGGAAAGAGAAGAACCACUUGAGGUACUGUAUGAGGUAUUGCCAGUUGUUGUGGUAACAGUAAUACAGAGAAAAUGUUAUUCUCUAAUGUUUCCAUAACCAUUGUGACUUUUUUUUUUUUAAUCAUCCAUUGUUACAUUCCAGCAGUAGUAAAAUGGGUGUGUGUUCAGGAAUAAAACACUCCACGCUGUGCUGUUCUAGGAAAAUAAACAAUGACAGGUGAUGUGAUGAAGUGGAGUUACUGUUACCACCACAAAGAGGGAGGAGCUAAGAAGCGAGGAAGGGAAGAAAGGAAAGGAAAUGACGAAGCAAAAUUAAAUGAAAUGAGAAGUACCCACUUCUUUGAUGUGUGUAUUUGCAAACCAUUCAGGUAUCUGCAAAACAGAAAGACCAUUAAUGAACUACCUGAACCCAUGAAAAAGCUGCAGAGGAAGGCUUGGAGAGAGGCGACAAGGCGACACCGUGCAAAAAAGAUGGCUCAAGCUGCUCUUUCUGCUACAUCCAUGUCACAAACACAAACCGUAUGACCAGGACAUAUUUCUUCCCUUUAGACUCUGUGCUCUCUGGGCAAAAAGUGCCCCUUUUGUAUAUGUAUAUACUGUAUAAAUAAAUUAAUAAUUGGGUAAUUGAGUUGAAUGAAAAUGUUUUCUUGGUUUCUUGUUGGUCCAGUUAACAUAGUUAUCGUUUAGAAAUUAAAUGACAAAUAAAAUAACAUGUCUGUCA